GUACUACUGAAGAGUCCCAAACUAGGACGAAACAGUCGUCCGGUAC
rnacentral:hammerhead_ribozyme from 1 species